rnacentral:rRNA from 1 species
GACGAACGCUGGCGGCGUGCUUAACACAUGCAAGUCGAACGUGAUUUUUGUGGAAAUUCUUUCGGGAAUGGAAAUGAAAUGAAAGUGGCGAACGGGUGAGUAACACGUGAGCAACCUACCUUACACAGGGGGAUAGCCGUUGGAAACGACGAUUAAUACCGUAUGAGACCACAGAAUCGCAUGAUAUAGGGGUCAAAGAUUUAUCGGUGUAAGAAGGGCUCGCGUCUGAUUAGCUAGUUGGAAGGGUAAAGGCCUACCAAGGCGACGAUCAGUAGCCGGUCUGAGAGGAUGAACGGCCACAUUGGAACUGAGACACGGUCCAAACUCCUACGGGAGGCAGCAGUGGGGAAUAUUGCACAAUGGGGGGAACCCUGAUGCAGCGACGCCGCGUGAGCGAAGAAGGUUUUCGAAUCGUAAAGCUCUGUCCUAUGAGAAGAUAAUGACGGUAUCA